rnacentral:rRNA from 1 species
UACGUAGGGUCCGAGCGUUGUCCGGAAUUACUGGGCGUAAAGAGCUCGUAGGUGGUUUGUCGCGUUGUUCGUGAAAACUCACAGCUCAACUGUGGGCGUGCGGGCGAUACGGGCAGACUAGAGUACUGCAGGGGAGACUGGAAUUCCUGGUGUAGCGGUGGAAUGCGCAGAUAUCAGGAGGAACACCGGUGGCGAAGGCGGGUCUCUGGGCAGUAACUGACGCUGAGGAGCGAAAGCGUGGGGAGCGAACAGA